AACGCGAAGAACCUUACCAGCUCUUGACAUGUCCCGUAUGAGUACCAGAGAUGGAACUCUUCAGUUCGGCUGGCGGGAACACAGGUGCUGCAUGGCUGUCGUCAGCUCGUGUCGUGAGAUGUUGGGUUAAGUCCCGCAACGAGCGCAACCCUCGCCCUUAGUUGCCAUCAUUUAGUUGGGCACUCUAAGGGGACUGCCGGUGAUAAGCCGCGAGGAAGGUGGGGAUGACGUCAAGUCCUCAUGGCCCUUACGGGCUGGGCUACACACGUGCUACAAUGGCGGUGACAAUGGGAUGCAAUGGAGUAAUCCUGCGCAAAUCUCAAAAAGCCGUCUCAGUUCGGAUUGUGCUCUGCAACUCGAGCACAUGAAGUUGGAAUCGCUAGUAAUCGCAGAUCAGCACGCUGCGGUGAAUACGUUCCCGGGCCUUGUACACACCGGAGUA
rnacentral:rRNA from 1 species